rnacentral:lncRNA from 1 species
AUACAGUUCUAGAGACCUCUACAUGUGUCUGAGAUAAUGAAGACAUCUCCACAUGACCUCACUGGUGAUUUCUCAUCUUUCUCCCUGAACUCUUCUAUUUUCUUCUCCUUACCAUCACUCAUCCAGACAAUUUUCAUGAACGUCCACAUUUUCCCAAUGACUGCUUUGGCCACUCGUUCCCAUAACAGGGCAAUACUACGACUUCAGGAAGCAUUGUUUUGAUUCACUCAUUUACCCACUCACUCA